AGCUUAGUUUAGGGUUUAAAACCCUAAUGCUGGCUGAAAGGUAAAUUCAGUUUAGGGUUUAAAACCCUAAUGCUGAUUGCAUGGAAAACUCAGUUUAGGGUUUAAAAACCCUAAUGCUGGCUGAAUGGGAAAAGUUCAGUUUAGGGUUUAAAACCCUAAUGCUGACUAAAGGAAAAAUUCAGUUUAGGGUUUAAAACCCUAAUGCUGAUUGCAUGGAAAAGCUCAGUUUAGGGUUUAAAACCCUAAUGCUGGCUGAAUGGAAAAAAGUUCAGUUUAGGGUUUAAAACCCUAAUGCUGACUAAAGGAAAAAUUUAGUUUAGGGUUUAAAACCCUAAUACUGAUUGCAUGGAAAAGCUCAGUUUAGGGUUUAAAACCCUAAUGCUGGCUAAAGGAAAAGUUCAGUUUAUGGUUUAAAACCCUAAUGCUGACUGAAUGGAAAAGAGUUCAGUUUAGGGUUUAAAACCCUAAUGCUGACUGGCUGGAAAGUUCAGUUUAGGGUUUAAAACCCUAAUGCUGACUGAAAGGAAAAAUUCAGUUUAGGGUUUAAAACCCUAAUGCUGACUGAAUCAAGAAGUUCAGUUUAGGGUUUAAAACCCUAAUGCUGACUGAGUGGAAAAGUUCAUUUUAAGGUUUAAAACCCUAAUGCUGACUAAAUGGAAAAAGUUCAGCUUAGGGUUUAAAACCCUAAUGCUGACUGAAUGGAAAAAGUUCAGUUUAGGGUUUAAAACCCUAAUGCUGACUAAAGGGAAAAGUUCAGCUUAGGGUUUAAAACCCUAAUGCUGGCUGAAUGGAAAAAGUUCAGUUUAGGGUUUAAAACCCUAAUGCUAACUAAAGGGAACGAGUUCAGUUUAGGGUUUAAAACCCUAAUGUUGACUGAAAGGAAAAAGUUCAGUUUAGGGUUUAAAACCCUAAUGCUAACUAAAGGGAAAAGUUCAGUUUAGGGUUUAAAACCCUAAUGCUGACUAAAUGGAAAAAGUGCAAUUUAGGGUUUAAAAUCCUAAUGCUGACUGAAAGGAAAAGUUAAGUUUAGGGUUUAAAACCCUAAUGCUGACUAAAAGGAAAAAGUUCAGUUUAGGGUUUAAAACCCUAACGCUGAUUGCAUGGAAAAGCUCAGUUUAGGGUUUAAAACCCUAAUGCUGGCUGAAUGAAAGAGUUCAGUUUAGGGUUUAAAACCCUAAUGCUGACUAAAGAAAAAGUUCAGUUUAGGGUUUAAAACCCUAAUCUGAUUAAAAGGAAAAUUCAGUUUAGGGUUUAAAACCCUAAUACUGACUGCAUGGAAAAGCUUAGUUUAGGGUUUAAAACUCUAAUGCUGGCUGAAUGGAAAAAGUUCAGUUUAGGGUUUAAAACCCUAAUGCUGACUAAAGGAAAAGUUCAGUUUAGGGUUUAAAACCCUAAUGCUGAUUAAAGGAAAAAGUUCAGUUUAGGGUUUAAAACCCUAAUGCUGAUAAAAGGAAAAAGUUCAGUCUAGGGUUUAAAACCCUAAUGCUGACUAAAGGAAAAAGUUCAGUUUAGGGUUUAAAACCCUAAUGUUGACUGAAUGAAAGAGUUCAGUUCAGGGUUUAAAACCCUGAUGCUGACUAAAUGGAAAAGUUCAGUUUAGGGUUUAAAACCCUAAUGCUGACUGAAAGGGAAAAAUUAAGUUUAGGAUUUAAAACCCUAAUGCUGACUGGUUGGGGGGUAAAGUUCGAGAAUGCUAGCUAUAGCCUUUUUUUUUUUGGAUUUUCUUGUUUUAGUAGCAGAUAAAAGGGAGUCUCAUAGAAACUUACCUUUCGAGUGAAUUCCUU
rnacentral:lncRNA from 1 species